rnacentral:rRNA from 1 species
UACGUAGGUGGCAAGCGUUGUCCGGAUUUACUGGGCGUAAAGAGCGCGCAGGCGGUCGAGUAAGUCGAAUGUGAAAGCCCCCGGCUUAACUGGGGAGGGUCAUUCGAUACUGUUCGACUUGAAGGCAGGAGAGGGCAGCAGAAUUCCCGGUGUAGUGGUGAAAUGCGUAGAUAUCGGGAGGAAUACCAGUGGCGAAGGCGGCUGCCUGGCCUGUUCUUGACGCUGAAACGCGAAAGCUAGGGGAGCGAACGGG